UACGGGGGGGGGCAAGCGUUGUUCGGAAUUACUGGGCGUAAAGGGCUCGUAGGCGGCCAACUAAGUCAGACGUGAAAUCCCUCGGCUUAACCGGGGAACUGCGUCUGAUACUGGAUGGCUGGAGUUUGGGAGAGGGAUGCGGAAUUCCAGGUGUAGCGGUGAAAUGCGCAGAUAUCAGGAAGAACACCCGUGGCUAAGGCGGCUCUCUAGUACGGUACUGACGCUGAGACGCGAAAGCGUGGGGAGCGAACAGG
rnacentral:rRNA from 1 species